GGCACGCGUUUCCGAGGGUUGCUCCUCCUUCGCUCCUCUUCCUGGUGUAGCUUUGGGAGUGGUGGUUUGCUUUCUUUUCAGUCUUGUUCAAGUAUGGACAUAAUGAGGUUGAGCCUUACUUCCAAGUUUCAAGGGGUGAGUUAACCAUUGCCUUUCACUGGCCCUUAGGCUAGCCCACCUGUGGAUGUACAGCCAUCAUGGUUCACUCUGAUCUGGUAAAGAUCCUGUACCUGGUGGUGAAACCCUGCCGAUAGCGCUCCAUGAAGUCAGCAUACUCUGGGGCUCGGUGGAAUGGUCCUCGAUCAGUAAGAAGCCAGUCCAGUGGCACUUGGCUGGAGGAGGUGGUGGCUGAGGCUGUGGAGGCAUGCUGUUCGUGUGAUGUGGCAACAGCAGUAGCCAACUCCCAGCACCCCAGAGUCAGGACCAAUACCAAUGACACCCAUGGGACCAUCAGCCAGAGCCCAUUAAAUCGAGCGUCGCGCUGCCACCUCAUGCUUCUCCUGCUCAGCUGGCUUCUUCAUUCUCUCACCACUCCUUCCCGCUCAGAGCUCCUUCAGGAUUUCCUGCACUGAGAAGGCACAAGGAUAAGCAGAUGGAUAUGGGUGUGUUAUCCAAACAAAUACCUUAGCUAUCCCUGGGAAAGGGCGCAGAUAUUUCUAAACUUUAGGUCCAAUCAGACAGUCCAAUACGUUUUGGUGCCUGAGACAGAUAAUCCAAAAGGCACUCCUCCUCAAGGUGGCAAAAAUAUAAUAAUAAAGUAAAUAAUUGAUAUUUGGUGCCUUUUCACAGCAAAUUCUGCCGCCAGAGGAGAAUUGCUUCCAUUUGUUAAAUGGCAGGACCAGCCAUGGGUCGAGUUUCCACUGGGAUAAUCUGACAUGCUGCUUUCGAGAAAAACGUCUCAGCCUAGAACCACUGGAGGAUGCUCUUGGGCAAAGGCAUUCACUGUCUCAAGUGGAGUAGCUACUUGUCCUCACUGUCCCCACAUUGCUUUUUGGCUUGGGUCAUCAGGAGUUUAAAGCCCUGUGUGGGAAGGGAGUGCAGUAAACCCUGUACAGACAGACAGAGGUAGCAGCCAUGGUGGCAGCAGGACACUCUGAGACCAAGGAUGAGGGUUUUGCUUUCCUGUCCUUGUCAACUUUGUUCCCCCGGGAUUGUCUUUGUUUCAAUAAAGUUUUAUUGCCAUUCUUUUUAAAAA